GAAAGAGAGAGUAAAGACUUUUCUAAAGUAUCUAGAAGGCCAAGGUAUCUGUGAUUGUCGUUUUACUUACUCUAACUAAUCUAAUCAGAGUAAACCUGUAUAGGGGAAUUCGAACACAGGGAAAAAAUACCGCAUGAGCUUACACGUUAGGUUCACACAAUUAACUAUAUUCCACACUACUUAAAACAGCGAAGAAAUACUAUAAGACUUUUUUGUGCUAAUGAAACCCUUUCAUUAACCGAUAACCACUAAAUGCAAUCUGCACUAUCUCAAAAGUCCACACGAAAUACAUAAAUUCCAUCCAACACCACGAAUAACCAAUCUUACUCAAUUAAGCUCGCUUUACACAAUUUCUAUUUUUCCAGAUUUCUUCGGUCCGAACACACACAGUUUUCAAUUAACCACG
rnacentral:lncRNA from 1 species